GGGAAACUGGGUCUAAUACAGGAUAUGACCGCAUGCCGCAUGGUGUGUGGUGGAAAGAUUUAUCGGUGCAGGAUGGGCCCGCGGCCUAUCAGCUUGUUGGUGGGGUAAUGGCCUACCAAGGCGACGACGGGUAGCCGACCUGAGAGGGUGACCGGCCACACUGGGACUGAGACACGGCCCAGACUCCUACGGGAGGCAGCAGUGGGGAAUAUUGCACAAUGGGCGGAAGCCUGAUGCAGCGACGCCGCGUGAGGGAUGAAGGCCUUCGGGUUGUAAACCUCUUUCAGCAGGGACGAAGCGUGAGUGACGGUACCUGCAGAAGAAGCACCGGCUAACUACGUGCCAGCAGCCGCGGUAAUACGUAGGGUGCGAGCGUUGUCCGGAAUUACUGGGCGUAAAGAGUUCGUAGGCGGUUUGUCGCGUCGUUUGUGAAAACCCGGGGCUCAACUUCGGGCUUGCAGGCGAUACGGGCAGACUUGAGUGUUUCAGGGGAGACUGGAAUUCCUGGUGUAGCGGUGAAAUGCGCAGAUAUCAGGAGGAACACCGGUGGCGAAGGCGGGUCUCUGGGAAACAACUGACGCUGAGGAACGAAAGCGUGGGUAGCAAACAGGAUUAGAUACCCUGGUAGUCCACGCCGUAAACGGUGGGCGCUAGGUGUGGGUUCCUUCCACGGGAUCUGUGCCGUAGCUAACGCAUUAAGCGCCCCGCCUGGGGAGUACGGCCGCAAGGGCU
rnacentral:rRNA from 1 species